rnacentral:rRNA from 1 species
UUGUGAGGUUAAGCGACUAAGCGUACACGGUGGAUGCCCUGGCAGUCAGAGGCGAUGAAGGACGUGCUAAUCUGCGAUAAGCGUCGGUGAGGUGAUAUGAACCGUUAUAACCGGCGAUUUCCGAAUGGGGAAACCCAGUGUGUUUCGACACACUAUCAUUAACUGAAUCCAUAGGUUAAUGAGGCGAACCGGGGGAACUGAAACAUCUAAGUACCCCGAGGAAAAGAAAUCAACCGAGAUUCCCCCAGUAGCGGCGAGCGAACGGGGAGGAGCCCAGAGCCUGAAUCAGUGUGUGUGUUAGUGGAAGCGUCUGGAAAGGCGCGCGAUACAGGGUGACAGCCCCGUACACAAAAAUGCACAUAUUGUGAGCUCGAUGAGUAGGGCGGGACACGUGGUAUCCUGUCUGAAUAUGGGGGGACCAUCCUCCAAGGCUAAAUACUCCUGACUGACCGAUAGUGAACCAGUACCGUGAGGGAAAGGCGAAAAGAACCCCGGCGAGGGGAGUGAAAAAGAACCUGAAACCGUGUACGUACAAGCAGUGGGAGCCUCUUAAUGGGGUGACUGCGUACCUUUUGUAUAAUGGGUCAGCGACUUAUAUUCUGUAGCAAGGUUAACCGAAUAGGGGAGCCGAAGGGAAACCGAGUCUUAACUGGGCGUUAAGUUGCAGGGUAUAGACCCGAAACCCGGUGAUCUAGCCAUGGGCAGGUUGAAGGUUGGGUAACACUAACUGGAGGACCGAACCGACUAAUGUUGAAAAAUUAGCGGAUGACUUGUGGCUGGGGGUGAAAGGCCAAUCAAACCGGGAGAUAGCUGGUUCUCCCCGAAAGCUAUUUAGGUAGCGCCUCGUGAAUUCAUCUCCGGGGGUAGAGCACUGUUUCGGCAAGGGGGUCAUCCCGACUUACCAACCCGAUGCAAACUGCGAAUACCGGAGAAUGUUAUCACGGGAGACACACGGCGGGUGCUAACGUCCGUCGUGAAGAGGGAAACAACCCAGACCGCCAGCUAAGGUCCCAAAGUCAUGGUUAAGUGGGAAACGAUGUGGGAAGGCCCAGACAGCCAGGAUGUUGGCUUAGAAGCAGCCAUCAUUUAAAGAAAGCGUAAUAGCUCACUGGUCGAGUCGGCCUGCGCGGAAGAUGUAACGGGGCUAAACCAUGCACCGAAGCUGCGGCAGCGACGCUUAUGCGUUGUUGGGUAGGGGAGCGUUCUGUAAGCCUGUGAAGGUGUGCUGUGAGGCAUGCUGGAGGUAUCAGAAGUGCGAAUGCUGACAUAAGUAACGAUAAAGCGGGUGAAAAGCCCGCUCGCCGGAAGACCAAGGGUUCCUGUCCAACGUUAAUCGGGGCAGGGUGAGUCGACCCCUAAGGCGAGGCCGAAAGGCGUAGUCGAUGGGAAACAGGUUAAUAUUCCUGUACUUGGUGUUACUGCGAAGGGGGGACGGAGAAGGCUAUGUUGGCCGGGCGACGGUUGUCCCGGUUUAAGCGUGUAGGCUGGUUUUCCAGGCAAAUCCGGAAAACCAAGGCUGAGGCGUGAUGACGAGGCACUACGGUGCUGAAGCAACAAAUGCCCUGCUUCCAGGAAAAGCCUCUAAGCAUCAGGUAACAUCAAAUCGUACCCCAAACCGACACAGGUGGUCAGGUAGAGAAUACCAAGGCGCUUGAGAGAACUCGGGUGAAGGAACUAGGCAAAAUGGUGCCGUAACUUCGGGAGAAGGCACGCUGAUAUGUAGGUGAAGCGACUUGCUCGUGGAGCUGAAAUCAGUCGAAGAUACCAGCUGGCUGCAACUGUUUAUUAAAAACACAGCACUGUGCAAACACGAAAGUGGACGUAUACGGUGUGACGCCUGCCCGGUGCCGGAAGGUUAAUUGAUGGGGUUAGCGGUAACGCGAAGCUCUUGAUCGAAGCCCCGGUAAACGGCGGCCGUAACUAUAACGGUCCUAAGGUAGCGAAAUUCCUUGUCGGGUAAGUUCCGACCUGCACGAAUGGCGUAAUGAUGGCCAGGCUGUCUCCACCCGAGACUCAGUGAAAUUGAACUCGCUGUGAAGAUGCAGUGUACCCGCGGCAAGACGGAAAGACCCCGUGAACCUUUACUAUAGCUUGACACUGAACAUUGAGCCUUGAUGUGUAGGAUAGGUGGGAGGCUUUGAAGUGUGGACGCCAGUCUGCAUGGAGCCGACCUUGAAAUACCACCCUUUAAUGUUUGAUGUUCUAACGUGGGCCCCUAAUCGGGGUUGCGGACAGUGUCUGGUGGGUAGUUUGACUGGGGCGGUCUCCUCCUAAAGAGUAACGGAGGAGCACGAAGGUUGGCUAAUCCUGGUCGGACAUCAGGAGGUUAGUGCAAUGGCAUAAGCCAGCUUGACUGCGAGCGUGACGGCGCGAGCAGGUGCGAAAGCAGGUCAUAGUGAUCCGGUGGUUCUGAAUGGAAGGGCCAUCGCUCAACGGAUAAAAGGUACUCCGGGGAUAACAGGCUGAUACCGCCCAAGAGUUCAUAUCGACGGCGGUGUUUGGCACCUCGAUGUCGGCUCAUCACAUCCUGGGGCUGAAGUAGGUCCCAAGGGUAUGGCUGUUCGCCAUUUAAAGUGGUACGCGAGCUGGGUUUAGAACGUCGUGAGACAGUUCGGUCCCUAUCUGCCGUGGGCGCUGGAGAACUGAGGGGGGCUGCUCCUAGUACGAGAGGACCGGAGUGGACGCAUCACUGGUGUUCGGGUUGUCAUGCCAAUGGCACUGCCCGGUAGCUAAAUGCGGAAGAGAUAAGUGCUGAAAGCAUCUAAGCACGAAACUUGCCCCGAGAUGAGUUCUCCCUGAGACUUAGAGUCUCCUGAAGGAACGUUGAAGACGACGACGUUGAUAGGCCGGGUGUGUAAGCGCAGCGAUGCGUUGAGCUAACCGGUACUAAUGAACCGUGAGGCUUAACCUUACAACGCCGAAG